UCGCGGCCUAUCAGCUUGUUGGUGAGGUAAUGGCUCACCAAGGCAUCGACGGGUAGCUGGUCUGAGAGGACGAUCAGCCACACUGGGACUGAGACACGGCCCAGACUCCUAUGGGAGGCAGCAGUAGGGAAUCUUGCGCAAUGGGCGAAAGCCUGGCGCAGCAAUGCCGCGUGCGGGACGAAGGCCCUAGGGUCGUAAACCGCUUUCAGUAGGGACGAAAAUGACGGUACCUGCAGAAGAAGCUCCGGCCAACUACGUGCCAGCAGCCGCGGUGAUACGUAGGGAGCAAGCGUUGUCCGGAAUUACUGGGCGUAAAGGGCUCGUAGGUGGUUGAGUAAGUCAGAUGUGAAAUCUCAGGGCCCAACCCUGAGCCUGCAUUUGAUACUGCUCUGACUAGAGUCCGGUAGGGGAGUGCGGAACUCCUGGUGUAGCGGUGAAGUGCGCAGAUAUCAGGAAGAACACCGACAGCGAAGGCAGCACUCUGGGCCGGUACUGACACUGAGGAGCGAAAGCAUGGGUAGCAAACAGGAUUAGAUACCCUGGUAGUCCAUGCCGUAAACGUUGGGCACUAGGUGUGGGGAGAACUCAACUCUCUCCGCGCCGUAGCUAACGCAUUAAGUGCCCCGCCUGGGGAGUACGG
rnacentral:rRNA from 1 species